GGGCGCGUAGCUCAGCGGGAGAGCACUCGCUUCACACGCGAGGGGUCGCUGGUUCAAUCCCAGCCGUGCCCACCA
rnacentral:tRNA from 3 species